rnacentral:rRNA from 1 species
AACGAACGCUGGCGGCAGGCUUAACACAUGCAAGUCGAGCGAGACCUUCGGGUCUAGCGGCGGACGGGUGAGUAACGCGUGGGAACGUGCCCUUCUCUACGGAAUAGCUCCGGGAAACUGGGAGUAAUACCGUAUACGCCCUUUGGGGGAAAGAUUUAUCGGAGAAGGAUCGGCCCGCGUUGGAUUAGGUAGUUGGUGGGGUAAUGGCCCACUAAGCCGACGAUUCAUAGCUGGUUUGAGAGGAUGAUCAGCCACACUGGGACUGAGACACGGCCCAGACUCCUACGGGAGGCAGCAGUGGGGAAUCUUAGACAAUGGGGGCAACCCUGAUCUAGCCAUGCCGCGUGAGUGAUGAAGGCCUUAGGGUUGUAAAGCUCUUUCAGCUGGGAAGAUAAUGACGGUACCAGCAGAAGAAGCCCCGGCUAACUCCGUG